rnacentral:rRNA from 1 species
GCAUCCUACGGGUGGCUGCAGUGGGGAAUAUUGCACAAUGGGGGAAACCCUGAUGCAGCGACGCCGCGUGAAGGAUGAAGUAUUUCGGUAUGUAAACUUCUAUCAGCAGGGAAGAAAAUGACGGUACCUGACUAAGAAGCCCCGGCUAACUACGUGCCAGCAGCCGCGGUAAUACGUAGGGGGCAAGCGUUAUCCGGAUUUACUGGGUGUAAAGGGAGCGUAGACGGUUAAAUAAGUCAGAUGUGAAAGCCCGGGGCUCAACCCCGGGACUGCAUUUGAAACUGUAUAACUAGAGUGUUGGAGAGGUAAGUGGAAUUCCUAGUGUAGCGGUGAAAUGCGUAGAUAUUAGGAGGAACACCAGUGGCGAAGGCGACUUACUGGACAAUUACUGACGUUGAGGCUCGAAAGCGUGGGGAGCAAACAGGAUUAGAUACCCCGGUAGUCACCG